rnacentral:lncRNA from 1 species
UCAACCAAGCAAUCAACUUAAUUCAAAACAUCAAGUGAAUAUCAAAACGAAAAUAAAAAUGAAUUAACAAUGAUUAAUAAAACAAUUAAAAGAGAAAAUGUUAAAGAGGUAUUUAACCAUCAAAUAAAAGUCCAAGAAAAAUGGAAAGGUCAACAAAAUUAAGGGUGACUUGACCUCAAAAGUUGGGGUGAAAAAUGCUUAAAGAUGAAUAACAUAAAAAUGUGGAAAAAAAUUAAAGAAAAAUAAGAGAAAAUAUGGAUUAAAUACAAAAAAUGAUUUAAAUUUUUUUUGAAAAUAAAAGCAAAUAUAAAAUAUUUUUAGAGAUUUUCUAUAAAAGUUUGGAAUAAAAAAGAAAUAAGGAGCUAUUUUUAAUAACUUUUGAAAGAAAAAGGAAAUAAAAACAAAAUAAAAC